AUAUACUAAUAUAAAAGCAGAGUUUUCUGCAGCAGCCAUUUCCCGCCAAUCAGCCCAGCCUUUAGCCCAAUGGAUUUUGCUUGAUUAUCGUGCACUGGAUUAAGAGAGGGUCUGCAUUUUGGCUCCAACAUCAGCACGAUUUUGAAUUUGAAAUUUGGAGCCCAAAUUUCAGCAGCCAUUUCCCGCCAAUCAGCCCAAUGGAUUUUGCUUGAUUAUCGUGCACUGGAUUAAGAGAGGGUCUGCAUUUUGGCUCCAACAUCAGCACGAUUUUGAAUUUGAAAUUUGGAGCCCAAAUUUCUUUUCAGCCAACUGUUUUCGAAAUUCUAUAAAUACCACUUCAUUAUCUUCUAAUUCUUCACACUUAACUUCUGGGAUUUAACAUUUGUAAUAUUUCUCAUCCUUCUUUUUUCCAAAAAAAUUAUCUGAUUUCGCACUUGCAAUAUUCUUUUGUCUUCUUCGAAAAUUUCUUAUAUGUUUCCUUUUGAAUCAUUUCUCUAAUUGCUGCAGAGAGCCUUUCCAUGGAAAGAGUUAUUCCACUUAUAAGUGGCAAUGAGAUGAUUUAUCUGAUUUCGUACUUUAAAGAUUCUCUUGUCUUCUUCUAAAAAUACUUCAAAAAUUUACUAUUUGUUUCUAUUUUUAAUUCAUUCUCAAUAUUGCUGCAGAGAGCCUUUCCAUGGAAAGAGCUAUUCCACUGAUAAGUGGCAGUGAGAAUGAUGAAUAUUCUUUAUGCUGAUUUUUCAAACUUCACUGCAUUUCGAAAAAUUCUUUUUGUUGUCUAUUUGAAAACUUUUUGUUUGAUUUUCUAUAAUGAAUAUUCUGUAUGCUCAUUUUACUAUCUUUACUACUUUUCAAAAAUUUCUUUUUCUUUGUCUACUUGAAAACUUUUUGUUUGCUUUUUCAAAAAGAUGUUUGUUUGGAAAUGGCUAAGCUAUUCUGCAAUGACAAAGUUGAAUACAUGAUCAUUUGUACAAAAAUAAAGUACUUUGCGUUAUUGCAGAAAGAAUUUUCAUAAAGUGAUAUGUAAUCAUUUUUUCCAUGUUAGAAUGUUUAUAUGCUAAGAUAUAAUUUUUCGUAUCACAUUUUUAAGGAACCAAAAAAGGAUCUAAUAUUUGUUUA
rnacentral:lncRNA from 1 species